rnacentral:lncRNA from 7 species
AGGGCAUACUAAAGAGUACAGCAGGAUAUGGAAAAGAUGGUCCCCAAGCUAGGAAAGCAGAGGAGCUGCAUGCAGAUGUCUGAAGUUGAAUUUGGCACUUGGAGUUAUUUGCCACAUUAAAAACAAACAUCUAUACCAAUACAAUCCAUAAUUCCUAAGGUUCCUUCCUCCAUUCCUGGGCUGAGGCAUUGUUUUCCCAAUUUGCUCAACAGCUCUUGCUAGACUAGACAGAAGUUAAUGGAGAGAAGGUGAUUUGCAAACUUCACCCUCACACAAGUAAUGGCUUCCUUGCAUGAAUGAUCACUCUUGCUACCUCAGAGAAUUACUUGUGAAAAUUCAUUAUUUUGUAACCAGAAGACAGAGCAACAGUGUAAACAUGCUGUUUACAGAUAACAAGUUUACAGCUUUGUCUGCUGGUGGUAUUUGUGAGAAGAAACUUUCUUCCAUAUAUACGUGGCAAAACACUACUUCUGGAGUGAGAUCAUCUUAAGAUCUGCACAACCACUGGGAAUUCAAAAGAGUCAUAGAUGUAACAUGUAGGUGAUGUAAAAGUUCCCUAAUUAGAGAAACAAAAGUUAGGUAUAUGCCUUUUCUCUGUCUGGAGAAGACAUACAAAAGAAAAUGCCUAAUCUCUACUGACUCAUGUGAAUCCAUCCAUGGAAAAAAUGCAAAACCAUGCUAAGCCUCAUCGGAUGACUGAGACACCAAACUACAAGGGGAAGACUAAUAUCUUCUUAAUCAGUGCAAAGAAUUGCUUGAAAGACAAUGUGUGAAAGGAGGCUUCAGGACCACGCUGUGCAUGUAUUUGAGACUCUUCCCAGCAACUUUUUAGUAAAAAGCUUAACUGUUGACUACUGUAAUAUCAAUUGCAAUGUCAGCUGAAUUUGACAGAGGAGUUAGAGAUAUCAGAAAUACUAUUUACAGGAAAAAGAAGAAGGAUGGAAAAAAAUUGGUGUUGGAAGAUGGAAUAACGGGGAAGAAUUCAAGUUUUGAGGAAAAAGAAGAAUCAUUGUCCCUUUUUGGAAUAUUGGGGUAGCGGAUAGCAACAAGAAUUCUGCAACUUUGCAAUUUUUGGUAUCUGAGCUUUAAACCUACUUAAGUAUACUUGUCGAAAUCUUUGUACCUUGUCUUUGCUCCUUUUGUACUGUAUCUAUUUUAUUAAUAAAUUGUUAAUUUAC